AUGAACGCUGGCGGCGUGCCUAAUACAUGCAAGUCGAGCGAACAGACGAGGAGCUUGCUCCUCUGACGUUAGCGGCGGACGGGUGAGUAACACGUGGAUAACCUACCUAUAAGACUGGGAUAACUUCGGGAAACCGGAGCUAAUACCGGAUAACAUGUUGAACCGCAUGGUUCAACAGUGAAAGACGGUCUUGCUGUCACUUAUAGAUGGAUCCGCGCCGCAUUAGCUAGUUGGUAAGGUAACGGCUUACCAAGGCAACGAUGCGUAGCCGACCUGAGAGGGUGAUCGGCCACACUGGAACUGAGACACGGUCCAGACUCCUACGGGAGGCAGCAGUAGGAAAUCUUCCGCAAUGGGCGAAAGCCUGACGGAGCAACGCCGCGUGAGUGAAGAAGGUCUUCGGAUCGUAAAACUCUGUUAUUAGGGAAGAACAAAUGUGUAAGUAACUAUGCACGUCUUGACGGUACCUAAUCAGAAAGCCACGGCUAACUACGUG
rnacentral:rRNA from 1 species